rnacentral:rRNA from 1 species
AGAGAGAGACAUGCGCGCAUAUCAAUAAGCGGAGGAAAAGGAAACUAACAAGGAUUCCCCUAGUAACGGCGAGUGAAGCGGGAAGAGCUCAAAUUUGAAAUCUUAAAGGGUUUCCCUUUACGAAUUGUAGUUUAAAGAAGUGUUUUCUGUUGAGGUUUUGGUAAAAGUUCUUUGGAAUAGGACAUCAUAGAGGGUGAGAAUCCCGUAUUUGACCUUUACUUUCAACUUUGUGAUACACUUUCAAAGAGUCGGAUUGUUUGGGAAUGCAGUCCAAAAUGGGUGGUAAAUUUCAUCUAAAGCUAAAUAUUGGCGAGAGACCGAUAGCGAACAAGUACCGUGAGGGAAAGAUGAAAAGAACUUUGAAAAGAGAGUUAAACAGUACGUGAAAUUGUCAAAAGGGAAGCGUUUGACACCAGUGUUGUUUUUCUGAAAAUCAAUUAAAGAACUGUUUAUGCUAAGUUGUUUAGACUUUAUCAGCUAUCUGUUUAGUUUUGAGCUUUUCUUUAAUGCACUUUUCAGUUAACAAGUCAACAUCAAUUUCCUUUGCUGUAAAAAAGCUUGAGGAAGGUGGCUUGAGAUUCGUCUUAAGUGUUUAUAGCCUCUUGCCUAUGCAGUCGGAGAGAUUGAGGUCUGCAGCGUAGAUCCUUCGGGGCUAAAUGCAUUUGUGCUAAGUUAUAGCAUUUUAUAGACAACUUGUUGACUAUGAUUUGUCUUGUAGCUUACUCGCUUAUGUUAUUUUACCUACGCUUAGGAUGUUGACGCAUGAGAUAUACGC